CGCCCGGUGUCCUUUGUCUAAAUUGGUGCGUAAUCUUCAGCUGCAGGCAUUUUCCCAUGGGAUUCAGAGAAAGCACACUUCCACGAACGAUAUAUCAUCGAAGAGAUAUGUGAAAAGCACCUUGAGGAUUGAUUCUAAACCAUGUUUACCAUGUUUCAGUCGAUAUUAUGGAGUUAAUUUGGAAAAAUGUUCGGCGUUUUGAUGACUGAAUUUUCGUUUUUUUUUUGGUAGCCAAACGUGAUGUACAAAACGGAGCGAUUUCUCCUACACAAAGAAUAUUUUUGGACAAACUGAACAUUUGCUAUCUAACUGAGAGUCUCCUCAUUGAAAACAUCCGAAGUUCUUCAAAGGACCUGAGCCCUAGGACCAUGCCUCAGGACUACCUGGCAUGAUGAUUACUUGCUGUCUCCAGUCCACCUGCCCGUGCUGCUGAUCCAGUUUCAACUGUUCUGCCUGCGGCUAUGGAAUCCUGACCUGUUCACGGGAUGUGCUACCUGUCCCAGACCUAUUAUUUGACCAUGCUCGUCAUUUAUGAACAUUUGUACAUCGUGGUCAUGUUCUGUUAUAAUCUCCACCAAGCACAACCAGAAGAGGACUAGAUCACCCCUUAUAGCCUGGUUCCUCUCUAGGUUUCUUCCUAGGUUUUGGCCUUUCUAGGGAGUUUUUCCUAGCCAACGUGCUUCAACACCUGCAUUGCUUACUGUUUGGGGUUUUAGGUUGGGUUGCUGUACAGCAGUUUGAGAUAUCAGCUGAUGUACGAAGGGCUAUAUAAAUACAUUUGAUUUGAUUUUGAAAAUGCUGCCCCCUAUCCCAAAAGAGUUAACAAACCUCCAAGCGAGCUUCAAUGCCCUAAAACACUCCUUCCAUGGCCUCCAACUGCAUUAAAAUGCUAGUAAAACUAAAUGCAGGCUCUUCAACCGAUUGUUGCCCGCACCCGCCAGCCCGACUAGCAUCACAACGGUUCUGAAUUAGAAUAUGUGGACAACUACAAAUACCUAGGUGUUUGGUUAGACUCUAAACUCUCCUUCCAGACUCGCAUUAAGCAUCUCCAAUCCAAAAUGAAACCUAGAAUCGGCUUCCUAUUUCACAAAAAAAGCCUCCUUCGGUCAUGCUGCCAAACAUACUCUCAUAAAACUGACUAUCCUACUGAUCCUUGACUUUGGCGAUGUCAUUUCCAAAUAGCAUCCAACACUCUACUCAGCAAAUUGGAUGCGGUCUAUCACGGUGCCAUCCAUUUUGUCACCAAAGCCCCAUAUACUACCCACCACUGCGACCUUUAUGCUCUCGUUGGCAGGCCCUCGCUACAUAUUCAUUGCCAAACCCACUGGCUCCAGGUCAUCUAUAAGUCUUUGCUAGGUAAAGCCCUGCCUUAUUUCAGCUCACUGGUCACCAUAGCAACACCCACCCCUAGCACACGCUCCAGCAGGUAUAUUUCACUGCUCAUCCCCAACACCAACACCUACUUUGACCACCUUUCCUUCCUGUUCUCUGCUGCCAAUAACUCAAACAAAUUGCAAAAAUCACUGAAGCUGGAAACGUAUGUCUCUAUCUCUAACUUUAAGCAUCAGCUGUCAGAGCAGCUUACUGAUCACUGUACCUGUACACAGCCAAUCUGUACAUAGCACACCCAACUACCUCAUCCCCAUAUUGUUUUUUAUCUUUUUGCUAUUUUGCAUCCCAGUAUCUCUGCAUCUACCUCUCCAGUGACAAUGCUAAAUUCUAAUUAUUUCGCCUCUAUGUUUUCUAUUUCUGUGUGUUUGGCCGGGUGUGGUUCUCAAUCAGAGGCAGCUGUCUAUCGUGGUCUCUGAUUGAGAACCAUCCUUAGGUAGCCUUUUCCCACCUGUGUUUGUUGGUAGUUAUUUUCUGUUUUGUGUGUCUGCACCAGACAGAACUGUUUCAUUAGUUCAGCUUUGUUAUUUUUUGUUCUAGUGUUCAGUUUAAAAAAAAAUCAUGAACACGUACAACGCCACACCUUGGUCCUCUUCUUCAAACAGCCGUUACAGGUAUUGACUGUACUUUUGUUCAUGUGUAACUCUGUGUUGUUGUUUUUGUCGCUUUGCUUUAUGUUGGCCAGGUCGCAGUUGUAAAUGAGAACUCUCAACUGGCCUACCUGAUUAAAUAAAGGUGAAAUAAAUUAAAUUAAGG
ensembl:lncRNA